UUAAGAAAAUAAGUGCAAGCGGUGGAUGCCUUGGCAUUCAGAGGCGAUGAAGGACGUGAUAAUCUGCGAUAAGCUUCGGUUAGCUGGUAAAUGAGCUAUGACCCGGAGAUUUCCGAAUGGGGGAACCCACCUGACACAAGUUGGGUACUCACUCGAUAUAGAGUGUAGAGCGAACGAGGGGAACUGAAACAUCUAAGUACCCUUAGGAAGAGAAAUCAAUUGAGAUUCCCGUAGUAGUGGCGAGCGAAGUGGGAAGAGCCUGGUAUGAUUUAGCUGUAAUUAUAGUAGAACAAGUUGGGAAGCUUGACGAUAGAGGGUGAUAGUCCCGUAUACGAAAUAAUCACAGUGGAACUAAGCAUACGAACAAGUAGGACGGGGCACGUGGAACCUUGUCUGAAUAUGGGGGGACCAUCCUCCAAGGCUAAAUACUCCUGAAUGACCGAUAGUGAACUAGUACCGUGAGGGAAAGGUGAAAAGAACCCUUAUAAAGGGAGUGAAAUAGAAUCUGAAACCGCUUGCAUACAAGCAGUAGGAGCAUGAUUUAGUCAUGUGACUGCGUACCUUUUGUAUAAUGGGUCAGCGAGUUAUUUUUAGUGGCGAGGAUAACUGAAUAAGGGAUCCGUAGCGAAAGCGAGUUUUAAUAGGGCGACUAGUCGCUAGGAGUAGACCCGAAACCGGCGCGAUCUAUCCAUGGCCAGGUUGAAGAUUAGGUAGUACUAAUUGGAGGACCGAACCCAAUACUGUUGCAAAAGUAUGGGAUGAGCUGUGGAUCGGAGUGAAAGGCUAAUCAAGCACGGAGAUAGCUGGUUCUCCCCGAAAACUAUUUAGGUAGUGCCUCGUGUAUAACUCAUUGGGGUAAAGCACUGUUUCGACAAUGGGGGUUUUACGACCUUACUGACUCGAUGCAAACUCAGAAUACGA
rnacentral:rRNA from 1 species